UGAAAUCGUAAAUAUAUCAUUUUAUCACAAGAAAUUCAAUCCGUACAUUGCUAGUGCAGUUGAAGUCUCUUCCUCAACCACCAGUUGAUUCAAUUCAUAGAAUAUAUACAUAUAUAUACAUAUAUAUAUAGUGAAGAGUAAAAGAAUUAUGGAAACAUACCUUACCAAAUGUAAGAACUGACAUAUUAGUCAUCUUUCCAGCAGUCAUAUUUAUAUUCAUACUAGAUCGUUUAAUGAUCAUCAUCAAAUUAAGAAUAUUUUUAUCAGAUAAUUCGUACCAAUUUGUCAUGUAAACUAUGUCACCGAUUUUCUUACACUAUGAAAAAUUUGAUUAUUCGAUUCAACUGACCAAGAGCAUGGCUUGCACAUACAGCAACAAAACUAAAAGCGCCAGCGGUGCUCGAACUACAUAUAAAUGCGGACAAUAAUUGCGUACCCAAUAUAAUAUCGUGUGUUGGAUUUGUAUCAACUGGCAUAUUAUAAGCUGGACAAGAAAAUGUGAAGCACACCCGGAAUUAACGUGAAUAACGAAGAGAUCCAACAGAUGACAAUUAAAAUUUUUGAAACAAUUUUUUCGAUUCUUGACUUAUAAAGUGAGGCUGGCCAUGCACCUAUCGGUUUCAA